CCUACGGGGGGCAGCAGUGGGGAAUAUUGCACAAUGGGGGAAACCCUGAUGCAGCAACGCCGCGUGAGCGAAGAAGGCCUUCGGGUCGUAAAGCUCUGUCCUAAGGGAAGAAGGAAGUGACAGUACCUGACUAAGAAGCCCCGGCUAGCUACGUGCCAGCAGCCGCGGUAAUACGUAGGGGGCAAGCGUUAUCCGGAAUCACUGGGUGUAAAGGGUGCGUAGGCGGCCCUUCAAGUCAGAGGUGAAAGGCUACGGCUCAACCGUAGUAAGCCUUUGAAACUGUAGGGCUUGAGUGCAGGAGAGGAGAGUGGAAUUCCCAGUGUAGCGGUGAAAUGCGUAGAUAUUGGGAGGAACACCAGUUGCGAGGGCGGCUCUCUGGACUGUAACUGACGCUGAGGCACGAAAGCGUGGGGAGCGAACAGGAUUAGAUACCCUUGUAGUC
rnacentral:rRNA from 1 species